AUAAAGCUACAGGCACUCAGCAGGCACUUGAGAUGACACUUUGUCACAGGAAUUCUCACAAACUGCCGCAGCUACAUUGGGAAUUGGAGUUCCUCUGCCUGAAGCCUUAUCUGUGACUCCAAAGGGGAUCCUGGUUCUCACAACAGAACGAAUGGAAGAAUCAUCCCUGAUAGAUACUUGUCUGAAAUGUAUUUGCCCUGGAUUUUUAAGAGUUCCUGAAUGAUUUUGCUUCAGUGUUCUUCUGACCAUGUUGUAAACAACGCUGCCCCAAAGGAGCAUAAUAAAGUUCAGAAACUUCA